rnacentral:rRNA from 1 species
GGACAAACGCUGGCGGCGUGCCUAAUACAUGCAAGUCGAACGGUCUCCCUUCGGGGAGAUAGUGGCGGACGGGUGAGUAACACGUAGAUAACCUGCCCUGGAGUGGGGAAUAACAUCUCGAAAGAGAUGCUAAUACCGCAUACGUUCUUUGUUGAUAGACAAAGAAGAAAGCUAUAGCAAGCGCAAGCAAGCUAAGUGCUCGAGGAGGGGUCUGCGGCGGAUUAGCUAGGUGGUGGGGUAAAAGCCUACCAUGGCGACGAUCCGUAGCUGGUCUGAGAGGACGAUCAGCCACACUGGGACUGAGACACGGCCCAGACUCCUACGGGAGGCAGCAGUAAGGAAUAUUCCACAAUGGGCGAAAGCCUGAUGGAGCGACGCCGCGUGAGGGAAGACGCCCUUUGGGGUGUAAACCUCUUUUGUGGGGGAUGAUAAUGACAGUACCCCACGAAUAAGCCUCGGCUAACUACGUGCCAGCAGCCGCGGUAAUACGUAGGAGGCGAGCGUUGUCCGGAUUUACUGGGCGUAAAGCGCGCGCAGGCGGCAUGGCAAGUAAGGUGUGAAAUCUCCCUGCCUAACGGGGAGGGUGCACUUUAGACUGCCAAGCUAGAGGACGGUAGAGGGGGGUAGAAUUGCUGGUGUAGCGGUGAAAUGCGUAGAGAUCAGCAGGAAUACCCGUGGCGAAGGCGGCCCCCUGGGCCGAACCUGACGCUGAGGCGCGAAGGCUAGGGGAGCGAACGGGAUUAGAUACCCCGGUAGUCCUAGCAGUAAACGAUGACCACUAGGUGUGGGGGGUGUUGACCCCUUCCGUGCCGAAGCCAACGCAUUAAGUGGUCCGCCUGGGGAGUACGGUCGCAAGACUAAAACUCAAAG